GAUGAACGCUGACGGCGUGCCUAAUACAUGCAAGUCGAGCGAACAGACGAGAAGCUUGCUUCUCUGAUGUUAGCGGCGGACGGGUGAGUACAAAGUGAAUACCAACCUUCUAAUUCGGGAUUAAUUUCGGAAAACGGGGGCUACUACGGGAUAAUAUUUUGAACCGAUGGGUUCAAAGGUAAAUGCAGGCUUUCUGGUCCGUUUUAGCUGGUUCCCGGCUGCUUUAGCUGGUUGGUAAGGUAACGGCUUACCAAGCCAACGGUGCAUGGCCGACCUGAGAGGGUGAUCGGCCACACUGGAACUGAGACACGGUCCAGACUCCUACGGGAGGCAGCAGUAGGGAAUCUUCCGCAAUGGGCGAAAGCCUGACGGAGCAACGCCGCGUGAGUGAUGAAGGUCUUCGGAUCGUAAAACUCUGUUAUUAGGGAAGAACAUAUGUGUAAGUAACUGUGCACAUCUUGACGGUACCUAAUCAGAAAGCCCCGGCUAACUACGUG
rnacentral:rRNA from 1 species